CUCUUGGGCAAUAUAGCCUUUGGUUCUUGGUUCUCAUGCCCUCUCUCCAUGGCCCACACAGAACCUUCUGAGACCGUCUUCUUACUUCUCGAAUGCGCUUUCAGUCUCCCACCUCCAGCUCUUCAAAUGCACAACAUGACCUGCUGCCUCAUUCCUGCCACCCUGCCGUCCCCACCAUGGUGACCGUUUCCCUCAGACUGCUGUAAGCCUAAAUUACCCUCUUCUUCCCCGGGUUGCUAUUGUCUGUGUCUUGUUAUAGCAAACAGCAAAGCGACCACUAACGCCCUCACAUAUGUCCUGUCAGAGAGGAGAGCCGAGUAGCAAGCAGCCCUCAUCUCCAUGAUUCAUACAAAUAGCAAAGCUCAUUCCUCACCCUCACCUGUGCGUCUGGACAUAGGUCCCCAGGCAAAGCCACUGGCCAUUAUAACUACAUAGGGGUAGGAAACAGACUCUGUCAACGACGUGAAGAAUACAGGAAGCCAGCAGAGGGACCGGUUCUUAGCAUUGCAGUCCACCUUAGCACUGCCCUGAACUUUCCAAUGUCACCCCAUCCUGCCCGUUCCCUGACAGUGCCAAGUGUACCCCUCUAGCAACUCCCUUCACUCAGUGGAACCUCAAGUCUGUCCUCAGGGUCCCCUACUGACUACCCUAGCCUGCCUGCGGCUCACUGUCACUGAUCCCUGAGCCAGCAUGGGUUCCACUCAAAGCUCACCAGCCAUGUGACCAUCUUUCCCACUGCUUACUCUUUCUUCCCUAGACACAGUUGUCUUUCUUCCCACCCAGCUGAGCUCAUCUCCUGUCCAACAGCUCUUCUGUCUCUGGUGUCACCUUUGAGACAUCAGGUUCAACUUCGAAUGUCUUAUGGAGGUGAAUCUCAAGGGGUUGUCUAGGGGCUUCUGUAUGCUCUCACCAGGGAGACAUCAGGGGAAGAGGCUGGGAGGCUCAAGCCAGUUGAUUGAUCUCCAUCCUGUCUGACUCUGUGGUCCCUCACGUCAUCUGUGGAUGUGAAGGAAGGAUACAACACCGCUGUAUGGAGACCAGGACUGUGGGGACAGAGGAGAAGGUAUAGCUGCCCACAGUCCUCCAGAGGUCAUCUUACUUACCUUUUGACCUGCCUCCAGAGCUGCCCACAGCAGAUCCCAAGCAGGCAGAGUGGAAAUCAGGAGUAUUUUGCUGCCUGACCUGACCCUGACCUAGGAUCAGGGAUGGAUAAGGACCCAAUGGGACAAUGUUCAGGGAUGGGCGGAAAGAGGGUGUUUUGAACACUGUAAUAGAUCAAUG
rnacentral:lncRNA from 1 species